rnacentral:rRNA from 1 species
GACGAACGCUGGCGGCGUGCUUAACACAUGCAAGUCGAACGGAAAGGCCCUGCUUUUGUGGGGUGCUCGAGUGGCGAACGGGUGAGUAACACGUGAGUAACCUGCCCUUGACUUUGGGAUAACUUCAGGAAACUGGGGCUAAUACCGGAUAGGAGCUCCUGCUGCAUGGUGGGGGUUGGAAAGUUUCGGCGGUUGGGGAUGGACUCGCGGCUUAUCAGCUUGUUGGUGGGGUAGUGGCUUACCAAGGCUUUGACGGGUAGCCGGCCUGGGAGGGUGACCGGCCACAUUGGGACUGGGAUGCGGCCCAGACUCCUACGGGAGGCAGCAGUGGGGAAUAUUGCACAAUGGGCGGAAGCCUGAUGCAGCACCGCCGCGUGCGGGAUGACGGCCUUCGGGUUGUAAACCGCUUUCGCCUGUGACGAAGCGUGAGUGACGGUAAUGGGUAAAGAAGCACCGGCUAACUACGUG